UACGAAGGGGGCUAGCGUUGCUCGGAAUCACUGGGCGUAAAGCGCACGUAGGCGGCUUUCUAAGUCAGGGGUGAAAUCCUGGAGCUCAACUCCAGAACUGCCUUUGAUACUGGAGAGCUCGAGUCCGGAAGAGGUGAGUGGAACUCCGAGUGUAGAGGUGAAAUUCGUAGAUAUUCGGAAGAACACCAGUGGCGAAGGCGGCUCACUGGACCGGUACUGACGCUGAUGUGCGAAAGCGUGGGGAGCAAACAGG
rnacentral:rRNA from 1 species